rnacentral:rRNA from 1 species
UUUGCCUACGGGACGCAGCAGUGAGGAAUAUUGGUCAAUGGCCGGAAGGCUGAACCAGCCAAGCCGCGUGAAGGACGAAGGUGCCAAGCAUUGUAAACUUCUUUUGUCAAGGGACAAAAUCAGGCUCGAGAGCCUGACCGAGGGUACUUGAAGAAAAAGCAUCGGCUAACUCCGUGCCAGCAGCCGCGGUAAUACGUAGGGUGCAAGCGUUAUCCGGAUUUACUGGGCGUAAAGGGCGAGUAGACGGCGUUGCAAGUCAGAUGUGAAAGGCUAGGGCUCAACCUUAGGAGAGCAUCUGAAACUGU